UUUCGAAGGUCAAUUAAAUUAAAUUAUUACAAUAAAAUAAAUAACGUUGCAAGAAAGAAUCAGAGAAUCAGAAAAGGAAGAGAGGACGGUAAUAAAAACCAAAAUCAAAAGCAAAAUCAAAACCAAAACCCACAAAAAAAAACGCUUCACACAAAAAAACACACACUAUGUGAGUUCAUCAUUUCAAUUCUAAGAUCGCGUCGCUCCCAAUUCCGAUUCUUCUUCUUUCACUUUCACUCUCAGCUAGCUCUGAUAACAGUUAUAAUUUAUUUUUAUUUUUAUUAUUAUUAUUAUUAUUACAAGAUUGUAAAAAAAAAAUCAAUCAACGGUGGUGGUGGAAGGAGGAGGGAGCGGCGGCGACACCACCAACAACGACGGUGA